rnacentral:rRNA from 1 species
UACGUAGGGACCAAGCGUUGUUCGGAUUUACUGGGCGUAAAGGGCGCGUAGGCGGCAUGACAAGUCACUUGUGAAAUCUCCGGGCUUAACUCGGAACGGUCAGCUGAUACUGCUUUGCUAGAGUGCAGAAGGGGCAAUCGGAAUUCUUGGUGUAGCGGUGAAAUGCGUAGAUAUCAAGAGGAACACCUGAGGUGAAGACGGGUUGCUGGGCUGACACUGACGCUGAGUGCGCGAAAGCUAGGGUAGCAAACGGG